rnacentral:rRNA from 1 species
UACAGAGGUCCCAAGCGUUGUUCGGAUUCACUGGGCGUAAAGGGUGCGUAGGUGGCCGGGUAAGUUCGAUGUGAAAGCUCGGAGCUUAACUCCGAAAAGGCAUUGAAUACUAUCCGGCUUGAGGGUCGGAGGGGAGACUGGAAUUCUCGGUGUAGCAGUGAAAUGCGUAGAUAUCGAGAGGAACACCAGUGGCGAAGGCGAGUCUCUGGACAUUUCCUGACGCUGAGGCACGAAAGCCAGGGGAGCAAACGGG